CAGUAGCCACGGUAACACGAAGGGGGCUAGCGUUGUUCGGAUUUACUGGGCGUAAAGCGCACGUAGGCGGACAUUUAAGUCAGGGGUGAAAUCCCAGAGCUCAACUCUGGAACUGCCUUUGAUACUGGGUGUCUGGAGUAUGGAAGAGGUAAGUGGAAUUCCGAGUGUAGAGGUGAAAUUCGUAGAUAUUCGGAGGAACACCAGUGGCGAAGGCGGCUUACUGGUCCAUUACUGACGUUGAGGUGCGAAAGCGUGGGGAGCAAACAGGAUUAGAUACCCCUGUAGUCCCUGUCUCUUAUAC
rnacentral:rRNA from 1 species